rnacentral:rRNA from 1 species
AGCGAACGCUGGCGGCAGGCCUAACACAUGCAAGUCGAACGAACUCUUCGGAGUUAGUGGCGGACGGGUGAGUAACACGUGGGAACGUGCCUUUUGGUUCGGAAUAACUCAGGGAAACUUGUGCUAAUACCGAAUGUGCCCUUCGGGGGAAAGAUUUAUCGCCAUUAGAGCGGCCCGCGUCUGAUUAGCUAGUUGGUGAGGUAACGGCUCACCAAGGCGACGAUCAGUAGCUGGUCUGAGAGGAUGACCAGCCACACUGGGACUGAGACACGGCCCAGACUCCUGCGCGCGGCAGCAGUGGGGAAUCUUGCGAAAUGGGCGAAAGCCUGACGCAGCCAUGCCGCGUGAAUCAUGAAGGUCUUAGGAUUGUAAGAUUCUUUCACCGGGGACGAUAAUGACGGUACCCGGAGAAGAAGCCCCGGCUAACUUCGUG